rnacentral:rRNA from 1 species
UUAAAACUUUUAACAACGGAUCUCUUGGUUCUGGCAUCGAUGAAGAACGCAGCGAAAUGCGAUAAGUAAUGUGAAUUGCAGAAUUCAGUGAAUCAUCGAAUCUUUGAACGCACAUUGCGCCCCCUGGUAUUCCGGGGGGCAUGCCUGUUCGAGCGUCAUU